GACGAACCGUGCGAACGUUGUUCGGAUUCACUGGGCUUAAAGGGCGCGUAGGCGGGCAAUCAAGUCAGGGGUGAAAGCCUCCAGCUUAACUGGAGAAGUGCCUCUGAUACUGGUCGUCUUGAGGGAGGUAGGGGCAUGUGGAACUUCCGGUGGAGCGGUGAAAUGCGUAGAUAUCGGAAGGAACGCCGGUGGCGAAAGCGAGGCCCUGGACCCUUUCUGACGCUGAGACGCGAAAGCCAGGGGAGCGAACGGG
rnacentral:rRNA from 1 species